UCCAAAAGUUUUGGCGAAGCGCGGUGAAUGUCGAGGCGGUACUAGAGUGAAGCUGCUUGGUAUGGGUGUCGUAGACGACGAGGGCGGUAAACGGAUGGUUUGGUGGUAGAAGGUAAGGGAACCUCGCUUGUUCUGUAAGGGGUGCGUUAUGGAGCCUUCCAUCGCAGCGAAUGGAACCUUUCUCGUCGAUAAACAAACGCAGUUGUCUCACUAGUG